AUGAAGUGGUCGUGGCUCAAAGGUCUGGGUCGGUGUGAAUGAGAGAAGGGGGGAGAACAACAGAGAGUAGCAUGAAGAGGAAUGGGCCGGUUUGGAUGUGAUUUGUUAGGUUUGCGUGUGGCCCCGGGGUCAUGGCACUAAUCUAUGGAGACGGACGCGCACCGCGCCGCCUCGUAAUUCAUAGAGAGAAACGCGACUGGGAGCGCGGUAACGGAAGCAUCCAUCAGGCUGACAGCUGGGCGUAUCCCGGGGCUAGUCCAUUGAAAAUAAAAUGCGUCUUUCUCCUGGGGCCCGCCUGUACAGAGCUGGACUGACUUUUGUUCCCGUGGCAACCGCAUGAGUACAUAUAUAUACUGUAUAUACACAUGGGGUUUGUUUUAUCCGAAGGAAGUUUAUGUGGCCCCUCUCUGGCCCUAUAUACACACAUGCACAUGCCCACACACACACACACACACACACACACACACACACACACACACACACACACACACACACACACACACACACACACACACACAAACUGUCUGAUAUAUAUCCCAGUACACCCUGUGUUUAUGUGUGUGUGUGUGUGUGUGUGUGUGUGUGUGUGUGUGUGUGUGUGUGUGUGUGUGUGUGUGUGUGUGUGUGUGUGUGUGUGUGUGUGUGUGUGUGUGUGUGUGUGUGUGUGUGUGUGUGUGUGUGUGUGUGUGUGUGUGUGAUAAGAAAAGGGGAAGAGAAAGCCUAUGCAUGCUGAAUGUCUUAUCUCUCUGUUAACUAUUCCUCUCUUGUCCUUGAGUUGGUUGAGAUUAACAUAUUAAAAUAGCCAUCUUCUGCUAGGAGAGAUAAAGUGAGUGAGGGAAAUAAAUGGAAACAAGAGGAAGAGGUAGAGAGAGAGAGAAAUAGAGAGUGGGAGAGUGAGAGAGAGAGAUGCUUAUGCUUUUUUUUAAUGCCGUUUGUUUAGUGAUUUAAAGAAUGUCAUUCUCUUUUGUUAUUAGUUUUCUGUCUCUUCCUCUUUCCCCGCCUAGUUCCUGACAUGCACUCUCGGUACUUAAUGAAGCUGUCAAAUGCAAUUGGCUUUGGGUGUUGGUAGGUUUUCCCUUUUUGAACCGCUUCGGUCCACAAAAGCCUUUGUUCAGCAAAAUUUGGUCAAUAAAUGCCAUGCUGUGAAACAGGUCUUUCACUUAUUGGAUCAUAAAAAUGAAACCCCCACUUUCCCCGUCAUGGACCGUAAUGGAACAGCAACAGUCCAUGGGGAUUCUGUUGCUUAAUAUCAUUAUUAUUUCUAUAUUCGGAUGAUUCUCUCGUACACAACAGAAUUAGUGUGCGUAAGACUGUACACUCUGCUGUUUGAGAUAAACAGUCCAAAACAAACCAGGGGUGAAGUAAUCCCUAAAACAACUCCCAGAAGACUGAUUGAACAUUUGUCUUUGGUUCCCGAGUUGAACUUAACUUCUUAUAUCCUCCUCGAUUGAGCCCUGGGUCUUUUCAAAUAGUAGGAGCUGGUGAACCUUCUACUAAAUGUCUUUGGAUGAGCUUUGUACUCGUGUUCAGAACGCUUUUACAACUCCUCUGGUUGUUGCUUGGGUUGUGUUGGGGGAACACCUGCAAUCCUCCACCAUCCAUCUUAUCCCUAAAACCUUUCAUUCACAUCUACCCCUUCUAUGACAGCACAUCUGUCUUCCGUUCGCCAGGAUGUGUACCCCGAAGCUCUGAGCUUUUCUUUGACACCCAAGUCUUUUAUCAAGGAACUCUUGUAAAUCUCUGGCCCUGUGAGCAUCAGAACCACCUGAACGACAGUAUCCAAACUUAACCGUCACAGUUAUCGAAAUGGACGGAUGGACACACACACACACACACACAUGCACGCACGCACGCACGCACGCACGCACGCACGCACGCACGCACGCACGCACACACACACACACACACACACACACACACACACACACACACACACACACACACACACA